UUGCCACUCAUCUCAUUUUAUUAGAAUCUCUACACAUGUUGGGACCGAGUUCUUAUCCAUCCAUUGUCCCUCCAGGAAUACCAAGGAGGCUUCUAUGACCUGGACAACUAAAGGCACCAGUUAUUCUUCUGUUCCAUCAAGUCCCUGCUGCUUAUUUUAUUUGAUCUAUGGAAUUGUCUUUGAUCCAGAUAUGGUCUGACCUUUGGAAAUGACUAUAGGAAGAACGGUAUCAAGAAAAAUGCAGUAGGCAGAGAGUCUUCAUGUUAGCCUUGUAGUUCUUACAUGGAGAACCAGAGGCACUAUACCAAGAGACACUGCGCCAAGGAGUUCAACAAAAUCAUGGAAGUGUUUGUGAUGUGUCCAUGGAAUUUAGAAAGUCUCAGCACGAAGGACAAAUGUAAAAAUGUGUGGUAGUGUUUUGCUUUACUCUUCAGCAUCCAACUCUGACCCCAUGCUUUCCCUUACUUUCACCCUUGUCUUUGCCCCAGGAAAUCUGUGCAAGGAGUCAUCAGGGAAGGGACUGUUCCAUUGGCCAUUUAAAGGUGGUGGUAAUAAUAAUACAAAGUGUGAGAUGUUAGAAAGCCUGACCUUUAGUGAGUAGGUGCAAAGAGAAGCAGGACUUGCUGGAGCAAUCUGGGAGUGAUUCAAGGUUCCCUAGAAAUUGUGCUGCUUUGCAGUAAUAGUUUGUUUCCAAUGAAGACAUAGACCCAAAUAGGAAAAAAAGGACAGAAAUUUUAGAGCCUUUUUCUUAGAUUCCAUGUCUAACCUUGCAGAAGGUAACAGGAGAAACUGCAAGGCACAUGGACUCACAUAGCUAGGGUACAACAAAGCAAGGAAAAACAAGCACAAGUAGGAAGGAAGUGCCUUGUGGUUCUUUUUGCAAACUGAGUUCCCUCUAAUAUCCCAUCACGCCAAAAGCUCUAAAAUUUCAACUUCAUACUUUGUGUCUUUUUCCCAUUCCUGUCCAGAGCAGUUGAAGUCCCUAAAUUUUAAUGAUAGCUUGAGAGGAAGCAUCAUCAGAGCUAACCUAACAGGCACUAAUUAUAACACUACCACGGGAAACACUCUUGGGACAUUGUCAUUGAAAUUGAACACAUAGUCAGAAAUGUUGCUGGGCCCCAUGGCCAGAAUUUCUGCCUCAGCAGGUAUGAACUGUGACUUGAGAAUUUGCAUUGUUACCAAAUGUUUCCCUGGAGACCAACGUUUUGUUAACCACUAACUGUAGCGAUGAAAACUGAAAUUAGGUAUCAGCAAUCUGUUCUUUUUUUUUUUUUUUUGGUACCGGGGAUCGAACUCGGGUCCUUGUGCUUA